ACGACUCACGCCACUUUCAUAAUCAUCGGCUCAUUGUGACUGUUCGUUGAAAAAUUGAGAACAUUUAUAUCUUGAUCGAUUAAUUUAAUAUCGCGUACGUCUAGUGUGACAUUCAAUUUUUUUUGUCUCAUUUAACCUUCUUCGUACACAUAUCAAGCACACGCAUAUACAGCUGUCAAACCGUCAGAGAGUUGUUCUGAGUCAUGAUGCGGGAAUAUUAAUAGCGAUUUUGCGGUGCUACCUGCACUGCUCUGCGCUACACAUUAAAUAAAGUUGUAAAAGUAAAAUAUAAACAUCCUAAUCGACGAGAAAUCACAAAGGGCCAUUUCAACCAAAUUUAAUCAGCAAUUAAUUCAAAGGGCUAUAGAAGAAACAAAGCUCAAAAGUUCAGCCUGACCUAAUUAUCUUGUGCGUCUUUAAUUUUUUAUACUUUGCAUGGGGAAUACAGAAAGAAAACUGACUCAGAACUUCCAUUCUGCACAAUGCGGUCCCAAGAUCAAGGUCACUGGCGAGGUUUAACGUUGUCUAUAAAUAGAUGUAAAAAAAUCCUCGGAUAAAAGGCGUGCCUCUAGGCGGUGAUGUCUCUCGCGGUAUCUCGUGCGACUAUAUACGCUAUACAUCAUGGAAGAGCAGCGCGUCGGGUGAAGUGAGCAAUAAACAACGAG